AUUGAACGCUGGCGGCAGGCCUAACACAUGCAAGUCGAGCGGAGCGGAGGACGGGUGAGUAAUGCCUAGGAAUCUGCCUGGUAGUGGGGGAUACAGUCCGGAAACGGGAGCUAAUACCGCAUACUAGCAGAUCAGCCUAGGUCGGAGUGGCUGGUUGGUGGGGUAAAGGCCUACAAAGGCGACGAUCCGUAACUGGUCUGAGAGGAUGAGCAGUCACACUGGAACUGAGACACGGCCCAGAAUCCUACGGGCGGCAGCAGUGGGGAAUAUUUGGCAAUGGGCGAAAGCCUGAUCCAGCCAUGCCGCGUGUGUGAAGAAGGUCGUCGGAUUGUAAAGCACUUUAAGUUGGGAGGCGUUACCAACAGAAUAAGCACCGGCUAACUUCGUGCCAGCAGCCGCGGUAAUAC
rnacentral:rRNA from 1 species